GCCGGAGUGGUGGAAUUGGUAGACGCACGGGACUCAAAAUCCCGCGGGGGUCAGCCCUCCGUGUCGGUUCGAGUCCGACCUCCGGCACCA
rnacentral:tRNA from 1 species